rnacentral:tRNA from 1 species
ACGCUGUUGGUGUAUUGGUAACAUUAGAGCUUCCCAUUAUGAGUUUAAUGGCCGCCCUUUAGUGGCGGAUAAUUGCUCUAGCACGGGGUUCGAUUCCCCGACAGCGUA